rnacentral:rRNA from 1 species
GACGAACGCUGGCGGCGUGCUUACACCUUCAAGGUCAACCGAAAGGCCCUGCUUUUUUGGGGUGGUCGGGUGGCGAACGGGUGGGUAACAAGUGAGUAACCUGCCCUUUACCUUGGGGUAACCUCAGGAAACUGGGGCUAAUACCCGAUAGGAACUUCUGCUGCCUGGUGGGGGGUUGAAAAGUUCGGCGGUUGGGGAUGGAUCUGCAGCUUUACCCCUUGUUGGGGGGGGAGUGGCUUACCACGGCUUUGCCGGGUAGCCGGCCUGAGAGGGUGACCGGCCACAUUGGUACUAAGAGACGGCCCAGACUCCUACGGGAGGCAACAGUGGGGAAUAUUGCACAAUGGGCGGAAGCCUGAUGCAGCAACGCCGCGUGCGGGAUGACGGCCUUCGGGUUGUAAACCGCUUUCGCCUGUGACGAAGCGUGAGUGACGGUAAUGGGUAAAGAAGCACCGGCUAACUACGUG